GGUGAUUUAGCUCAGUGGUAGAGCACUUGCCUAGCAAGCGCAAGGCCCUGGGUUCGGUCCCCAGCUCCG
rnacentral:tRNA from 1 species